GAGUUUGAUCGUGGCUCAGAUUGAACGCUGGCGGCAUGCCUAACACAUGCAAGUCGAACGGCAGCACAUUUUGUAGAGAUACAGAAGGGUGGCGAGUGGCGAACGGGUGAGUAAAGCAUAGGGAUCUACCUUGUGGACUGGGAUAACUUGAGGAAACUUAAGCUAAUACCGGGUAAGCUCUACGGAGGAAAGUAUGGGCCUGGAGACAGCCAUACGUCAUAAGAUGAACCUAUGUCGGAUUAGCUAGUUGGUGGGGUAAAAGCCCACCAAGGCGAAGAUCCGUAGCUGGUCUGAGAGGAUGUACAGCCACACUGGGACUGAGACACGGCCCAGACUCCUACGGGAGGCAGCAGUGGGGGAUAUUGGACAAUGGGGGCAACCCUGAUCCAGCGAUGCCGCGUGUGCGAAGAAGGCCUGACGGGUUGUAAAGCACUUUGGCGGGGGUAAGAAGUGAUGUUAUUGAAGAGAUGACAUUAUUGACGCUACCUCGAGAACAAGCACCGGCUAAC
rnacentral:rRNA from 1 species